rnacentral:rRNA from 1 species
CCCUUAGAUGUUCUGGGCCGCACGCGCGCUACACUGACGAAGUCAGCGAGCAUGUCCUACGCCGACAGGUGCGGGGAAUCUUGUCAAACUUCGUCGUGAUGGGGAUUGAUUUUUGAAAUUCUUGAUCAUAAACGAGGAAUUCCUAGUAAGCGCAAGUCAGCAGCUUGCGUUGAUUACGUCCCUGCCCUUUGUACACACCGCCCGUCGCUACUACCGAUUGAAUGGUUUAGUGAGAUCUUCGGAUUGGCGCCACUGCAGCUCAGCAACGGGCUUGGUGGAUGCCGAAAAGUUGAUCAAACUUGAUCAUUUAGAGGAAGUAAAAGUCGUAACA